rnacentral:lncRNA from 1 species
GUCUUUAGUUCUUCAAGUAACUGUAUGCUUAGUGCUUGCCACCACUCCUUUGCUGGUUCCAUUUUUCAUAUUUGGCUCUUUAACAAGUCUGGAUAUGGAAUAUUUCCAUCCAAGCAAAGAAGUUAUAAAGACUAGUGAUUUCAACUCCUAAGGAUAAAACAUUAUUUUAUUAUAGUUAGUUUCUUUAUUGUAAUUAUUUAUAAACUUCUUUGUUCCUUAUGUAUAAAUGUAGUCAUAGUCAUGUUCCCCUAAAUUUUCUGUGGUAAAUUUUCCAUUACUUCCUCAAAACCUUGUUUACUGUUCUGCCAUCCACAACAAGAUGAUGAGAAAAGCAUAAACCUGGAUUGGUUAAUUCUGAGCAAUACAAAGGUAUCCUUAAAUCUGUAAAACAUGAAAAAACUUCUAAACUUAAAAACUGUAUUGUG